rnacentral:rRNA from 1 species
CCCCAGCGCCACAAGUGGUCAUCGCGAUUAUUGGGCCUAAAGCGUUCGUAGCCGGCUUGGUGCAUCUCUUGUGAAAUUGUUCGGCUUAACCGGACAGCGCGCAGGAGACACGACCAGGCUCGAGACCGGAAGGCGUGUGAAGUAUGUCGUGGGGACUGGUAAAAUGGGAUAAUCCACGAUAGACUACCGAUGGCGAAGGCAUCACACGAGGACGGUUCUGACGGUGAGGAACGAAAGCCAGGGGAGCGAACCG